GGUUUUUUAGGUUAAGUUAAACUUUGUAAAUUGCUUUUAUGAGAUUUUAAAAACCA
rnacentral:tRNA from 1 species